rnacentral:rRNA from 1 species
UACGUAGGGGGCGAGCGUUGUCCGGAUUUAUUGGGCGUAAAGAGCGUGUAGGCGGCCAGGUAGGUCUGCUGUGAAAACUCGAGGCUCAACCCUCGAGACGUCGGCGGAAACCAUCGUGGCUAGAGUCCGGAAGAGGAGAGUGGAAUUCCUGGUGUAGCGGUGAAAUGCGCAGAUAUCAGGAAGAACACCAACGGCGAAGGCAGCUCGCUGGGACGGAACUGACGCUAAGGCGCGAAAGCGUGGGGAGCGAACGAGG